UCGGGACCCGCGGGGCCGCUCCGGGACCCGGUGUCGGUUCCGGACCCGGUGUCGGUUCGGGACCCGCGGGGCCGCUCCGGGACCCGGUGUCGGUUCCGACCCGGUGUCGGUUCGGGACCCGCGGGGCCGCCGGCAACAUCGUGACCAGGCAUUGAACAGGCAGCAAGAGCCACGUUUUCUUAGCGAGCUGCUCCUGUACAAGGAGAGAGGCUGUUUGAGUCAGAGCCUUGGAGCUGCCUCCAGCUCUUCACCCUCUUGGCUGUGCUUUUCCCAGGCAUCAAGGGAAUCCCCAUGGCACACCAUGGGCUGGUGUAGCACCUCAGAAAGCCCUGCCCUGCACGGGGCCUCUGCAGCACCUCACGGACACAAGAGCAUGUCCCACCUCCUGCUGUGGCCUCAGGAAAGUCCCUCCUACCUCCAGUGGGGUGGCACGUAGAGGAUGUUACCUGUGGUCAGCAGCCAGAGCAAAACUGAGGACCUGCAAGCAGCUCCCAGCAGGCAAAAUCAGAGUAAGCCAAGACCCGUGGCUCAAACUCUUUAUUAACAUGAGAUCAGGUGAGUUUUAAUAGCUCUGUGUUUCCCACUCUCUCUAUCAGGGCUCACUCUGCUUCUAAUAAGAAUUUACCAAAGCAAAGGGACUGGCCCAGACCUAUUCAAGUGAGACAAAAUCUCAGUUUGGGGCUGCCUUGCUCUGUGUCAGUAGUGUAACAUAACACAGAAAACAAAACCUCAGAGCCUGAACUUCCCUCCUGACCUGUUGUGAACCAAUGAUUUCAGUGCCUCCCUCCAAGGCCAGGGCCCUGGCUGGCACAGAGUGGGGAAGAGCUCCCCCACAGCUCUUCCACCCGUGGCAAUCCUCUGCUCCCGAGAACCACGAGGCAAUUUGAUUUGUGAGCUGCCAAAGCUGGCCUGAGCCCUCAUCAGGCACGUUUAAACCCAGACCACCAGCUGACUUCAUUUGCUAAGGGACUGGAGCUGGAGCCUCGAAAGGGUUUGACGAGGGGGCUUAGAUUUGUUAAACUUUUUAGUAGAUCCUUUCUCCCACCUUCCAAAGUCCUCUGCCAGAAAAAUAAUAACAAUACAGAGAAAGAAUAAAUUUAAUAGUGUGGGGGAAGAGAGGCACCAAUAAAGAGAAGUCUGUAACUUA